rnacentral:rRNA from 1 species
UACGUAGGUGGCGAGCGUUGUCCGGAUUUAUUGGGUUUAAAGGGUGCGUAGGCGGCCCUGUAAGUCAGUGCUGAAAUACUCUAGCUUAACUAGAGGGGUGGCAUUGAUACUGCGGGGCUUGAGUACAGAUGAGGUAGGCGGAAUUGACGGUGUAGCGGUGAAAUGCAUAGAUAUCGUCAAGAACACCGAUAGCGAAGGCAGCUUACUAAGCUGUAACUGACGCUGAGGCACGAAAGUGUGGGGAUCAAACAGG